rnacentral:lncRNA from 1 species
CACAAAAUUACUGAAAUGGGGCAUUUAAACCAAGCCAAGUUUUUCAAUGAAAAAGUUCAUGAUAUGGCAGCCUCUUUCCUUUGAAGAAUAGUCAGAAGGCUCAGAAUAGGUCAAUUUUAUAGAGGCAUGAUACUUUCCUAAAGAGGUAUGGACCGAUAUGAGGUUUUAAGCUUUUAUGCUACCUCUGUGUCUUGAAAACAUAGAAACAUUAAAUUUCCGACAAAGAAACAGAGGGACUGGGAGAACUUUUUUUGUUCUGAGUACAGAGUAGAACUGAAGUAAAUGUGAAACAAUGCCAGCGAAAAAUAGUCAAAAGGCCACUAAAGCAAGGAAAAGAAGCAAGGCAUAAUUCCAAGUUUUGGGGGACCACAGCUGUAUACUGAAGAUUACCAGGGGCCAUCAUGAAACAAGGUGCAUAUACUGCAGUUUACAUCUGGACCCUGAAGAACAUAUUUGUAUACAAUCCUGAGUAUCCCCUGAAAACCUGUUUUUAUGGAGAAACUUUAGAAGUGUUCAUUGAUUUGGGUCACCACGGGUCACCUCCUAAGGAGAGCAGAGGCUGAGAGGUAAGAGAGAAGCAGGUGUGUUACUUCAGAUGAAGACUCUCCACAGGGAAAUGGAAAGCCGGAGAAGCAGAAGCUUCCUGAAACAGUAGCUCAUAGAUUUAUGUGAAUCUGUUUGUCUUAAAAGUCAAUAUUUCCUGAGGUAAGCAUGUGGUCUCAACAUAAGUUCAGAAAUGUCUUUAAAACCUGAAAUGUUCUGGAAUUCAGAAUUUCUUUAGAGAAAAUAA